rnacentral:rRNA from 1 species
CAGCCGCCGCGGUAAUACGAGGGGGGCAAGCGUUGUUCGGAAUUAUUGGGCGUAAAGGGCGCGUAGGCGGUUUGGCAAGUUUGGUGUGAAAUCUUCGGGCUCAACUCGAAGUCUGCAUCGAAAACUGCCGGGCUUGAGUAUGGGAGAGGUGUGUGGAAUUCCCGGUGUAGCGGUGAAAUGCGUAGAUAUCGGAAGGAACACCUGUGGCGAAAGCGGCUCACUGGACCAUAACUGACGCUGAUGCACGAAAGCUAGGGGAGCAAACAGGAUUAGAGACCCCUGUAGUCCCUGUCUCUUAUAA